GGUAUAUUGGUUAAGCGCUUGGCUGCUAACCAAAAGGUUGGUAGUUCAAAUCUACC
rnacentral:tRNA from 1 species